rnacentral:tRNA from 1 species
CGGGGUGUAGCGCAGAUGGUUGUCGCGCGCGGUCUCCAAAAUCGCGAGGACGCCGGUUCGAAUCCGGUCACCCCGC